CCUACGGGAGGCAGCAGUGGGGAAUUUUGGACAAUGGGGGCAACCCUGAUCCAGCCAUGCCGCGUGAGUGAAGAAGGCCUUCGGGUUGUAAAGCUCUUUCGGCCGGAACGAAAUCGCGCACGUGAAUAACGUGCGUGGAUGACGGUACCGGAGUAAGAAGCACCGGCUAACUACGUGCCAGCAGCCGCGGUAAUACGUAGGGUGCGAGCGUUAAUCGGAAUUACUGGGCGUAAAGCGUGCGCAGGCGGUUCGCUAAGUCAGACGUGAAAGCCCCGGGCUUAACCUGGGAACGGCGUUUGAAACUGGCGGGCUCGAGUACGGCAGAGGGGGGUGGAAUUCCACGUGUAGCAGUGAAAUGCGUAGAUAUGUGGAGGAACACCGAUGGCGAAGGCAGCCCCCUGGGCCGAUACUGACGCUCAUGCACGAAAGCGUGGGGAGCAAACAGGAUUAGAUACCCUGGUAGUCCACGCCCUAAACUAUGUCAACUAGUUGUCGGGGAAGCAAUUCCUUGGUAACGCAGCUAACGCGUGAAGUUGACCCGCCUGGGGAGUACGGUCGCAAAGAUUAAAACNCAAAAGGAAUUGACGG
rnacentral:rRNA from 1 species